GCCCUAGUUGCUUAGUCUGGUAGAGCGUUGCCUUGGUAACGCUUAUAGGCCGGGGGUUCAAUUCCCCCCUGGGGCU
rnacentral:tRNA from 1 species